rnacentral:rRNA from 1 species
UACGUAGGGUGCGAGCGUUGUCCGGAAUUACUGGGCGUAAAGAGCUCGUAGGUGGUUUGUCGCGUUGUUCGUGAAAUCUCACGGCUUAACUGUGAGCGUGCGGGCGAUACGGGCAGACUGGAGUACUGCAGGGGAGACUGGAAUUCCUGGUGUAGCGGUGAAAUGCGCAGAUAUCAGGAGGAACACCGGUGGCGAAGGCGGGUCUCUGGGCAGUAACUGACGCUGAGGAGCGAAAGCGUGGGUAGCAAACAGG